rnacentral:rRNA from 1 species
AUGGAUAACAGGUUGAUAUUCCUGUACCACCUAUAAUCGUUUUAAUCGAUGGGGGGACGCAGUAGGAUAGGCGAAGCGUGCGAUUGGAUUGCACGUCUAAGCAGUAAGGCUGAGUAUUAGGCAAAUCCGGUACUCGUUAAGGCUGAGCUGUGAUGGGGAGAAGACAUUGUGUCUUCGAGUCGUUGAUUUCACACUGCCGAGAAAAGCCUCUAGAUAGAAAAUAGGUGCCCGUACCGCAAACCGACACAGGUAGUCAAGAUGAGAAUUCUAAGGUGAGCGAGCGAACUCUCGUUAAGGAACUCGGCAAAAUGACCCCGUAACUUCGGGAGAAGGGGUGCUCUUUAGGGUUAACGCCCAGAAGAGCCGCAGUGAAUAGGCCCAAGCGACUGUUUAUCAAAAACACAGGUCUCUGCUAAACCGUAAGGUGAUGUAUAGGGGCUGACGCCUGCCCGGUGCUGGAAGGUUAAGAGGAGUGGUUAGCUUCUGCGAAGCUACGAAUCGAAGCCCCAGUAAACGGCGGCCGUAACUAUAACGGUCCUAAGGUAGCGAAAUUCCUUGUCGGGUAAGUUCCGACCCGCACGAAAGGCGUAACGAUUUGGGCACUGUCUCAACGAGAGACUCGGUGAAAUCAUAGUACCUGUGAAGAUGCAGGUUACCCGCGACAGGACGGAAAGACCCCGUGGAGCUUUACUGUAGCCUGAUAUUGAAAUUCGGCACAGCUUGUACAGGAUAGGUAGGAGCCUUUGAAACGUGAGCGCUAGCUUACGUGGAGGCGCUGGUGGGAUACUACCCUAGCUGUGUUGGCUUUCUAACCCGCACCACUUAUCGUGGUGGGAGACAGUGUCAGGCGGGCAGUUUGACUGGGGCGGUCGCCUCCUAAAAGGUAACGGAGGCGCUCAAAGGUUCCCUCAGAAUGGUUGGAAAUCAUUCAUAGAGUGUAAAGGCAUAAGGGAGCUUGACUGCGAGACCUACAAGUCGAGCAGGGUCGAAAGACGGACUUAGUGAUCCGGUGGUUCCGCAUGGAAGGGCCAUCGCUCAACGGAUAAAAGCUACCCCGGGGAUAACAGGCUUAUCUCCCCCAAGAGUUCACAUCGACGGGGAGGUUUGGCACCUCGAUGUCGGCUCAUCGCAUCCUGGGGCUGUAGUCGGUCCCAAGGGUUGGGCUGUUCGCCCAUUAAAGCGGUACGCGAGCUGGGUUCAGAACGUCGUGAGACAGUUCGGUCCCUAUCCGUCGUGGGCGUAGGAAAUUUGAGAGGAGCUGUCCUUAGUACGAGAGGACCGGGAUGGACAUACCUCUGGUGUACCAGUUGUCGUGCCAACGGCAUAGCUGGGUAGCUAUGUGUGGACGGGAUAAGUGCUGAAAGCAUCUAAGCAUGAAGCCCCCCUCAAGAUGAGAUUUCCCAACUUCGGUUAUAAGAUCCCUCAAAGAUGAUGAGGUUAAUAGGUUCGAGGUGGAAGCAUGGUGACAUGUGGAGCUGACGAAUACUAAUCGAUCGAAGACUUAAUCAA